rnacentral:rRNA from 1 species
UACGUAGGGUGCGAGCGUUAAUCGGAAUUACUGGGCGUAAAGCGUGCGCAGGCGGUGAUGUAAGACAGUUGUGAAAUCCCCGGGCUCAACCUGGGAACUGCAUCUGUGACUGCAUCGCUGGAGUGCGGCAGGGGGGGAUGGAAUUCCGCGUGUAGCAGUGAAAUGCGUAGAUAUGCGGAGGAACACCGAUGGCGAAGGCAAUCCCCUGGGCCUGCACUGACGCUCAUGCACGAAAGCGUGGGGAGCAAACAGG